UACGUAGGGGGCUAGCGUUGUCCGGAAUCAUUGGGCGUAAAGAGCGCGUAGGCGGCCAGAUAAGUCCGGUGUGAAAGUCACAGGCUCAACCUGUGAAUGCCGCUGGAAACUGUAUGGCUAGAGUCCGGAAGGGGCGAGUGGAAUUCCCGGUGUAGCGGUGAAAUGCGCAGAUAUCGGGAGGAACACCAAUGGCGAAGGCAGCUCGCUGGGACGUUACUGACGCUGAGACGCGAAAGCGUGGGGAGCAACAGGG
rnacentral:rRNA from 1 species